GUCAAGUCGACAACGGAGACGUUGGAUGUGGGCACACGCAUGGACAUACCAGUCAGCUUUCCGUUGAGCUCUGGGAUGACCUUUCCGACGGCCUUGGCGGCACCGGUGCUGCUGGGGAUGAUGUUCUGGGCAGCGGUACGGCCACCACGCCAGUCCUUGCCGGAGGGACCGUCGACGGUCUUCUGGGUGGCAGUGUAGGAGUGGACGGUGGUCAUCAAACCUUCCUUGAGACCCCAGUUCUUGUGG
rnacentral:snoRNA from 1 species